CAGGACGAACGCUGGCGGCGUGCCUAAUACAUGCAAGUCGAACGAAGCUUUCUUUCACCGAAUGCUUGCAUUCACCGAAAGAAGCUUAGUGGCGAACGGGUGAGUAACACGUAGGCAACCUGCCCAAAAGAGGGGGAUAACACUUGGAAACAGGUGCUAAUACCGCAUAACCAUGAACACCGCAUGAUGUUCAUGUAAAAGACGGCUUUUGCUGUCACUUUUGGAUGGGCCUGCGGCGUAUUAACUUGUUGGUGGGGUAACGGCCUACCAAGGUGAUGAUACGUAGCCGACCUGAGAGGGUGAUCGGCCACACUGGGACUGAGACACGGCCCAAACUCCUACGGGAGGCAGCAGUAGGGAAUCUUCCACAAUGGACGAAAGUCUGAUGGAGCAACGCCGCGUGAAUGAAGAAGGCCUUCGGGUCGUAAAAUUCUGUUGUCAGAGAAGAACGUGCGUGAGAGUGGAAACUGUUCACGUAUUGACGGUAUCUGACCAGAAAGCCACGGCUAACUACGUGCCAGCAGCCGCGGUAAUACGUAGGUGGCGAGCGUUGUCCGGAUUUAUUGGGCGUAAAGGGAGCGCAGGCGGUCUUUUAAGUCUGAUGUGAAAGCCUUCGGCUUAACCGAAGUAGUGCAUUGGAAACUGGAAGACUUGAGUGCAGAAGAGGAGAGUGGAACUCCAUGUGUAGCGGUGAAAUGCGUAGAUAUAUGGAGGAACACCGGUGGCGAAAGCGGCUCUCUGGUCUGUAACUGACGCUGAGGCUCGAAAGCGUGGGUAGCAAACAGGAUUAGAUACCCUGGUAGUCCACGCCGUAAACGAUGAGUGCUAAGUGUUGGAGGGUUUCCGCCCUUCAGUGCUGCAGCUAACGCAUUAAGCACUCCGCCUGGGGAGUACGGUCGCAAGACUGAAACUCAAAGGA
rnacentral:rRNA from 1 species